rnacentral:rRNA from 1 species
UAGUUGGUGAGGUAUCGUCUCUCCAAGGUCGUCGACGUCGUAGCCGACCUCAGAGGGUGAUCGGCCACACUGGGACUGAGACACGGUCCUAGACUCUUAUCGGGAGGCAGCAGUUAGGGAAUCAUCCGCAAUGGACGAAAGUCCGACGGAGCACACGCCGCGUGAGUGAUGAAGGUUUUCGGAUCGUAUAAACUCUGUUCGUUAGGGAAGAACAAGCUACCGUUCGAAUAGGCCGGUAGCCUUGACGGUACCUAACCAGAAAUGCCACGGCUAACUUCGUGCCAGCAGCCGCGGUAAUACGUAGGUGGCAAGCGUUGUCCGGAAUUAUUUGGGCGUAAAGCGCGCGGCAGGCGGUUUCAUUAAGUCUGAUGUGAAAUGCCCCCGGGCUCAACCCGGGGAGGGUCAUUCGGAAACUGGGGAACUUGAGUGCAGAAGAGGAGAAGUGGAAUUCCACGUGUAGCGGUGAAAUGCGUAGAGAUGUGGAGGAACACCAGUGGCGAAGGCGACUCUUCUGGUCUGUAACUGACGCUGAGGCGCGAAAGCGUGGGGAGCGAACAGGAUUCGAUACCCUGGUAGUCCACGCCGUAAACGAUGAGUGCUAAGUGUUAGAGGGUUUCCGCCCUUUAGUGCUGCAGCAAACGCAUUAAGCACUCCGACCUGGGGACGCUAGCGCGUCGCAAGACUGAAACUCAAAGGAAUUGACGGGGGCCCGCACAAGCGGUGGAGCAUGUGGUUUAAUUCGAAGCACCGCGAAGAACCUUACCAGGUCUUGACAUCCUCUGACAACCCUAGAGAUAGGGCUUCCCCUUCGGGGGCAGAGUGACAGGUGGUGCAUGGUUGUCGUCACCUCGUGUCGUGAGAUGUUGGGUUAAGUCCCGCAACGAGCGCAACCCUUGAUCUUAGUUGCCAGCAUUCAGUUGGGCACUCUAAGGUGACUGCCGGUGACAAACCGGAGGAAGGUGGGGAUGACGUCAAAUCAUCAUGCCCCUUAUGACCUGGGCUACACACGUGCUACAAUGGGCAGAACAAAGGGCAGCGAAGCCGCGAGGCUAAGCCAAUCCCACAAAUCUGUUCUCAGUUCGGAUCGCAGUCUGCCAACUCGACUGCGUGAAGCUGGAAUCGUUAGUAAUCGCGGAUCAGCAUGCUCGCGGUGAAUACGUUCCCGGGCCUUGUACACACCCGCCCGUCACACCACGAGAGUUUGUAAUCACCCAGAAGUCAG